rnacentral:lncRNA from 1 species
UGGGAAUCUAAAGCUCUGAGGAUGAUUAUGAGACAGAGCAUUUGUUGUAAAAAGAAAUCUCGGUAAAGACUGAGUGUCUAAUGUGUGCCCUCAGAGGUCUGUUGCUGAGUAAGGGUGACAGAAAAUGAAGCCAGAUGAGGGAGAAAGAGAUGCAGUGUUCAAGACAAUAUUUCAAUAGAGAACUAUGUUGAUAAAGAAAAUUUGCAGAAGGCCACAUUCAGAAGGCUGGCACUCUGCCAUGUUCCAUGGCUUUGAUGCUUCACGGGGGUUCUCUGAGGUGUAAAAGGGAGAAGCUCCAGAGACCUACUGUCUCUCAGUGAGAGAGACAAAGGAGUCAGGACAGAGAAAAAGAGCCAACUCAUUGCUUUCCUUUCUUGUAAAGUAGGAGUGUGGCAAAUUUUCACAGUACGGCUGCUUUCAAGGAUGGAGGACCUUGACAUCAAGACCUUUUUGGAGACCUGAAGAAUAAGGAUGCUGUGGGGGAGAAAAAGACCUGCAACUUCAUUUGAAAUCACAGUGAACGUGACCCUGGAGAGACUUUGCUGUAACUUGAAAUCCUGUUGGCUGUCCAAAGGUUGAGGUUUUCAGCCAUUCCAGACACACAGUUCUCUGCCAAAUUCUUAAAAUUCCUGUAAAAUGAAUAAAAGUACCAACCUAUUUUGGUAUCA